CUGAUUGAGAUUUUAUAACAAUGGCUUUAGUGGCGGACUGGUGAGUAACGCGUGAGCAACCUGCCUACUAGAGGGAAUAACAGUGAGAAAUCAUUGCUAAUACCGCAUAUGCCAUGAACAUCACAUGAUGAAAAUGGGAAAAGAGUAAUCUGCUAGUAGAUGGGCUCGCGUCUGAUUAGAUAGUUGGUGGGGUAACGGCCUACCAAGUCGACGAUCAGUAGCCGGACUGAGAGGUUGAACGGCCACAUUGGGACUGAGAUACGGCCCAGACUCCUACGGGAGGCAGCAGUCGGGAAUAUUGCGCAAUGGAGGAAACCCUGAUGCAGCGACGCCGCGUGAGCGAAGAAGUAUUUCGGUAUGUAAAGCUCUAUCAGCAGGGAAGAAGAAAUGACGGUACCUGACUAAGAAGCACCGGCUAAAUACGUG
rnacentral:rRNA from 1 species